rnacentral:rRNA from 1 species
GACGAACGCUGGCGGCGUGCUUAACACAUGCAAGUCGAACGGUGAAGCAGAGCUUGCUCUGUGGAUCAGUGGCGAACGGGUGAGUAACACGUGAGUAACCUGCCCUUGACUCUGGGAUAAGCGUUGGAAACGACGUCUAAUACCGGAUACGAGCUGAGACCGCAUGGUCAUAAGUUGGAAAGAUUUUUUGGUCAAGGAUGGACUCGCGGCCUAUCAGCUUGUUGGUGAGGUAAUGGCUCACCAAGGCGACGACGGGUAGCCGGCCUGAGAGGGUGACCGGCCACACUGGGACUGAGACACGGCCCAGACUCCUACGGGAGGCAGCAGUGGGGAAUAUUGCACAAUGGGCGCAAGCCUGAUGCAGCAACGCCGCGUGAGGGAUGACGGCCUUCGGGUUGUAAACCUCUUUUAGUAGGGAAGAAGCGAAAGUGACGGUACCUGCAGAAAAAGCACCGGCUAACUACGUG